rnacentral:lncRNA from 1 species
GGAAUUCGUUUUUCCCUGUAAUUUCUAUCAUUUACAAAAGAGUGUUGCUAAACGAACCUUAAAAUUAACUGAGUGCACCAUAUGAACUAAGUACACCCUAAUAUUUUAAUCAAAUGAAAAAUUAACUAAGUACACCCUAUUUAACUACCAAAAAUACCCCUGGUAUACCCUAAUACACUCUAUCACACAACACUCUAAUACUAACCCUAAACCAGGUUUCUCUUUACACAUGAAUCCGUG